UACGGGGGGGGCAAGCGUUGUUCGGAAUUACUGGGCGUAAAGGGCUCGUAGGCGGCCAACUAAGUCGGAUGUGAAAUCCCCAGGCUCAACCUGGGAACUGCGUCCGAUACUGGAUGGCUUGAAUCCGGGAGAGGGAUGUGGAAUUCCAGGUGUAGCGGUGAAAUGCGUAGAUAUCUGGAGGAACACCGGUGGCGAAGGCGGCAUCCUGGACCGGCAUUGACGCUGAGGCGCGAAAGCCAGGGGAGCAAACGGG
rnacentral:rRNA from 1 species